rnacentral:rRNA from 1 species
CCCAGACUCCUACGGGAGGCAGCAGUGGGGAAUAUUGCACAAUGGGGGAAACCCUGAUGCAGCGACGCCGCGUGAGUGAAGAAGUAUUUCGGUAUGUAAAGCUCUCUCGGCAGGGAAGAAAAUGACGGUACCUGACUAAGAAGCCCCGGCUAACUACGUGCCAGCAGCCGCGGUAAUACGUAGGGGGCAAGCGUUAUCCGGAUUCACUGGGUGUAAAGGGAGCGUAGACGGCGACGCAAGUCUGGAGUGAAAGCCCGGGGCCCAACCCCGGGACUGCUCUGGAAACUGCGUCGCUGGAGUACGGGAGGGGCAGGCGGAAUUCCUGGUGUAGCGGUGAAAUGCGUAGAUAUCAGGAGGAACACCGGCGGCGAAGGCGGCCUGCUGGACCGUGACUGACGUUGAGGCUCGAGAGCGUGGGGAGCAAACAGGAUUAGAUACCCUUGUAC